UUUUGUUUGUCCGAACUAGUAUUUUGCUAGUUCAGUUCACAAUGUAGCUAGCACGCUAUAGUGGUUAAUAUUGGUUCUCUUUGAUCACUGCAGCAAGCUUUAUGGAAAAGAACAUGUGACAUACAAAAUGCCUGGAUUGGUUUGGUGCACCUCCUCAGAAAAGAUGCCUAAAAGUAUGGUGUCCUUGAUAACAUAUCAUGCUUCCCAUUUGAAAACUUCCUUGGCAUGGGUGUCUUAAUAAACAAUAGAUAGUCAUCGCUCAGUUAUUGGCCCUUGGACUCCCCCGGCACCUCUUGUACAGCAUUAAGUUUUCUGCUAUGAAGAUUUACAGAGACUCCAGAAUGAAAAACAAACCCUAAGGGAAAGCAAUGCACCAACAGCGUCAGAUGACAGCGGCUCACUUUAAGAGCAGGCGAAGCAAGUUGGGAUAAUGUUGAAGAUGUUUGCUCACACUGGGCAAUCAGGUGCAGACGUCUUGGAGAGUUUGGGUGAUGUUGUGCGCAGCAUGGACAACAAAAUGGACUCUAUGCUGCAUCAUUUUGAGUUUUCCCUGCCAGGGGAUCUGUUACUCCCACUAGACACCCAGGAAGAUUUGGCAUUACUUGACAACAGUAUGAGGCAGGAUAAAGAGCUCCAUGUACAAUUUGGACCUAAAGACAACCGUGUGGCGAAUGCUUCAGAGUAUCUUCUCUAAUCACCGUUCCAUCAAUAUAACCUGGUCUGGUGUAGGUGAUAAAGCAUGUUUUAGAGACAUGUUCCUGAAGACCAUUGUUCAAAGAGCCAUCCGAAAGAACCCGGCGACCCAGGAUGCCACUGAUGAGGCGAUCCAGGUUAACAUUACACAUCACCUGAAAGGAGCAUCUGACUGUGCAGGUGGAAAAAGGCACCGCUGAGUGGGACCCACAGCCGACCCCUUAAACCUAGGCUGACUACUGACACCCCAGCAUCACUUGACAACUGGAAGCCUUUUUUUAUCCUGCAGACAGUAACUUCAAGACAUCUAAAAAAGGCUUGUUACAGUGCUUAACUCUUCUAUUUAAAUAUAGCUUGUAAAUCCUAGAUUAUACAUCUAAUACUUGAUUUCUGCACAUUAUCUGGUAUCAAAUAUUCUACUUGCCGUGACUUUAGUAUUGGCUUAUUUCAUUUCGUCAGUGCUUAACGAUUCUACAUGCUCUAUGCACGAACCCUGCUGACGUAUGUCCGAAAGAAUCUCAGCCAGCUUCUUUACUUCCACAAGCGCAUUCUGCAGGCAAAGUAUAUAGCGGCAAAACUUUAAUAAAAUUCAUUUUCUUUCACUUUUCAAUUCCUCACAGUGUUGUUAACAUCAUUAUCGUUAACCGCAAGAAUUUUUUGUAAACAGUGAGUGUAACUUGCCACUAUCUCCACCUAAUGCAAAACCGGCUUCUGACGCAGCACCGGAUGUAACUGGGCGUCCUGAGACAAACCCGGAAGCGAUCGUGCAUAGAGCCUGUUAUAGUUUGCAAAUCCUGUUUCAUGCCUGAUAUUUGAUAUUGCACAUUAACUAGUACCAAAAUUCGACUUCAAUUCCAUCAGUGUGCUUAACUUAUUCAAUUA